CCAUCUUUUCAUUUUCUUGAUAGUUUCCUUUGCUGUGCAGAAGCUGUUCAGUUUGAUGCAGUCCCAUUUGUUUAUUUUUUCUAUUGUUUCACUUGCCUGGUUGGAUGUGGCACUUGAAAAUAUGCUGCUAAGACUGAGUGCUGGAAGUCAGUGAAAUAUUGUGACCCCAUUAUGGAGCACCAGACAUCCAAGUUCAAAUUCUGGAUCUGCCACUUGCCAAGGGGAAGGUUGUCAUGUUUUCUGAACUCUCUCAGCCUCAAAGUUGUUCCACAGAUAAAAUCUAUAUAAGUAUGGGAUGGUUUGCAGAUCACGGCAGCAUCGUAUGCCACGGUGCUGUAACAUCAAUGAAUACAUGGAAUGUCAGAUACUCAGCUAUCAUGUUUUGCAAACACAGAAGUAGUGAAAAUGUUUUACUAAAAAUCUAUGCACAGAACCUAGAAUCUUCAAACCUCUGAGGCAUCUUCCCACAGAGGAAUCUCUUGUAUUUCUAAUCUGGUUCAAACUGCUAUUGUCGCUAAUAUCUGAAUAGAAAUAUUUCACUGAACUAUGAAAAGCAUGUAAAGAGGUAAAAUCUAAAAGGCUUAAAGAAAGAAUACACUUUAAAAUAUAUCAUUUUUGAAAAAAGUAAA
rnacentral:lncRNA from 1 species